rnacentral:lncRNA from 1 species
AGGAAUACAGAAAGAAGCAGGGGGUUUGGGAAGAAGUUAUAGUGGGUAGUAGUAUACACAGUUCAUGCUCCAAGAUCAGUGGGGAAUAAGGGUUUCGACUCGGAAGCGUAUAUCGGUAUUCUCAAGGAUUAUUUCUGGUGAGGGUCUCCUGCGUAUCCGACCGGGUUAGAUGUUCCAUUAUGAGUUUAUUAUUAUUAAAGGCUAUAUGCAUGAUAAGGUAAUGUCCGUUUAAUCUUAAGACUAUAUAUGCUUCUUUACCAUAUUUAUUACUUAAUAUGAUACAUGUUCUGUUACUUUGCUGAUAUAUAUGAUUUAAUAUAUGUAUUAAUAUGAGCAGUAGCUAUUACUAAUUAUUGAAUAAAUCUGGUAAUUGAUUGAUCACCUAGUUAGGGCUCGUAUGCUGGCGAUUGUGCUUAUUGCACUUCUGUUACGCGGUGGGCCUUGGUAAGCGCCACAACUAACUAUUGCCAUUGGCUUUGGUAAGCGCCACACUAACUCUACGUGGGCCAUUGUAGUGCCACUAACUCUACGUGGAUUGUCAGCAUAUGUGAGCCAGGAUCCCAAAUAAAAUAUGGAUAUGAAUUAGAUUAUAAAUUAGCCAUAUGUAUUAUAUGCUAUAUACUUUCUAUAUGAUUAAUUGUACCUUAGAGUGACUAGGGCAGAGAUCUUCACUCAGUGAUAGCACUGACCCUUACUUUCCAUUUCAGCGAUAGGCUUUACUGGUUCACACACAGCAAAUCUGCAAAAUGGUAUCAUUAUUGAGCUCCGAGGUCGGCCAUCAUGGUGACGAUGCCAAGUAGAUGUUGAAGAUUGUGUCUUGAUCCUCGUUUUGUGUUUUAAAACUCGUUUGAGACUUUUACUCUCAUCAUCUGCAUAUGUUAU